UAAGCUAUAGCAAUGCUUAUUUUAUUCCUUCUAUUUUCAGAUAAAUUUUAUUAAGUACGAAAAAAACAUUUUAAUGAAACUUUUAAACUUGAUACAAUUGCUUAAACCUACUACACUGCUACAUUCGCUACAAUUGCUACAUCUUGUGGAGACGCAGUGGAGAUCGACGAUCUGUUACUGAGAUCUGUCGGUGAUGCUGUAUCGACGCUGUGGAGUGUUUUUCCAAGAAAUUUCUGCUGUUCAUUAUCAAUAAGUUCUUUUUUCUCCCGCAAACAUUUAGGGAUAUCUGGACGAACAUAACUGCAAUUUGUAUCCUUGAAUUGGACCAACUGUAGUGAGUUGUGGCGUAGUGAGCUUCAGGACGACUAUAGAAUUGCAAUUUGGGCCCUUUAGAGGGGACAUAUUUCAUUGGCAGGCCAC